UACGUAGGGUGGCAAGCGUUUGUCCGGAAUUAUUGGGCGUAAAGCGCGCGCAGGCGGCCUUUUAAGUCUGAUGUGAAAGCCCACGGCUCAACCGUGGAAGGUCAUUGGAAACUGAAAGGCUUGAGUCAGAAGAGGAAAGCGGAAUUCCACGUGUAGCGGUGAAAUGCGUAGAGAUGUGGAGGAACACCAGUGGCGAAGGCGGCUUUCUGGACGGUAACUGACGCUGAGACGCGAAACGUGGGGAGCAAACAGG
rnacentral:rRNA from 1 species